rnacentral:lncRNA from 1 species
CACAGAUGUUGGAAACUACCAAUGUCUGCAUUUCUAACAAGUGGCAGCAAUGUCAAGUUCUGUUGCGAUGGAAACAAGCUCUUUUCUGAAUUUGCUGCAGGUUUCAUCCAAGUGGGAAUCUGGCUUUAGUCACACACCUCCAGAUUGUCCUAGCCAUAUAUCUCCAGACUGUCACUUAGCCACACCAACAUUUUGCUUUUCUCAUCAAUGUGAAUAUUUAUGUUCAGACAAAUUCUGUAUGAUGAUUAUGCUUCUGUGUUAUCCAGAUGUAUAGUUUUGUGCAAAAAGUUUGUCAGGUUACUGGAAAAGGUUCGGCUAUCCAGCAAUACGCACAAAUACUG